CCUACGGGCGGCAGCAGUGGGGAAUAUUGGACAAUGGGCGAAAGCCUGAUCCAGCCAUGCCGCGUGUGUGAAGAAGGCCUUCGGGUUGUAAAGCACUUUCAGUGGGGAAGAAAGCCUUGGGGCUAAUACCCUCGAGGAAGGACAUCACCCACAGAAGAAGCACCGGCUAACUCCGUGCCAGCAGCCGCGGUAAUACGGAGGGUGCGAGCGUUAAUCGGAAUUACUGGGCGUAAAGCGCGCGUAGGCGGUCUGAUAAGCCGGUUGUGAAAGCCCCGGGCUCAACCUGGGAACGGCAUCCGGAACUGUCAGGCUAGAGUGCAGGAGAGGAAGGUAGAAUUCCCGGUGUAGCGGUGAAAUGCGUAGAGAUCGGGAGGAAUACCAGUGGCGAAGGCGGCCUUCUGGACUGACACUGACGCUGAGGUGCGAAAGCGUGGGUAGCAAACAGGAUUAGAUACCGUGUAGUC
rnacentral:rRNA from 1 species